GACGAACGCUGGCGGCGUGCCUAAUACAUGCAAGUUGAGCGCUGAAGGUUGGUACUUGUACCAACUGGAUGAGCAGCGAACGGGUGAGUAACGCGUGGGGAAUCUGCCUUUGAUCGGGGGACAACAUUUGGAAACGAAUGCUAAUACCGCAUAAAAACUUUAAACACUAGUUUUAAGUUUGAAAGAUGCAAUUGCAUCACUCAAAGAUGAUCCCGCGUUGUAUUAGCUAGUUGGUGAGGUAAAGGCUCACCAAGGCGAUGAUACAUAGCCGACCUGAGAGGGUGAACGGCCACAUUGGGACUGAGACACGGCCCAAACUCCUACGGGAGGCAGCAGGAGGGAAUCUUCGGAAAUGGACGAAAGUCUGAACGAGCAACGCCGCGUGAGGGAAGAAGGUUUUCGGAUCGUAAAACUCUGUUGGUAGAGAAGAACGUUGGUGAGAGUGGAAAGCUCAUCAAGUGACGGUAACUACCGAGAAAGGGACGGCUAACUACGUG
rnacentral:rRNA from 1 species